rnacentral:rRNA from 1 species
UACGUAGGGUGCAAGCGUUAAUCGGAAUUACUGGGCGUAAAGCGUGCGCAGGCGGUUUUGUAAGUUUGUCGUGAAAGCCCCGGGCUCAACCUGGGAAUUGCGAUGAAGACUGCAAGGCUUGAAUCUGGCAGAGGGGGGUAGAAUUCCACGUGUAGCAGUGAAAUGCGUAGAGAUGUGGAGGAACACCGAUGGCGAAGGCAGCCCCCCUGGGUCAAGAUUGACGCUCACGCACGAAAGCGUGGGGAGCAAACAGG